CGUCUUAUGCCGUCGAUUUUCGUCGCUCUCCUCUCCCACACCUGUUUCCACCAGAAAAAACACUCAACCGCCGAGGAGACCACCCGACCUAUCUCUCUCGAAAGGCACCAAUCGAUUCCUCUAGCCCUACCUCUCUCCUAAUCUGGGCAUCGACGAUCGACAUAGCAGAUAACACUCAACAUCGCCCACCCCCUCUCUUCCCAUCUCGCGGGAAGCAGAGGAGACCGGCCUCUUCCAGAUCGGCCCCGGGGUCACCGACGCGGACGACCGAGGGACUCGGCGCUGCCGGUCGGAGCUACAUCGCCCACGAUGUCGAGUAGGGCAUGUGCAAGAGCUCUUGGCCUUCUGGGGCUGCCGCCGCAUGACUUGUAUCGUCAGGCCGUCAUGGUGUCGGUCCAGCCGCCGGCUACACAAGGGUCUUCAGGUCGGCAGCGGCAACUUGGGACUUGGAGAGUAGCUUUUUGUGGUAGGGCAUGCACAAGAGGCGUGACCUGCUGGUAGCUGUCCAGGAUUCGUCUACACGGGCCACUAAAGCAGGGAAUUCAGGCCAGGGGAUCAAUUUGUAAUCAUGGUUAAACAAAUUAUAAUCAUGAUCUUAACAGGCUAACUGAAUUCGAUUGGGCCAUCAUCACAAGCAUGUCCACAACUAGACCUCAAUGGCUCCAACAGUAUGGACCUGUAGGUAUUUGAUGUUUUGAUCUACCAGUUUAUGCAUUCAGGUAUAACUUAGGCUAAGCAAUACUACUUUCAUUGGGUUUUCAGUACUUGUAUUUAAUGUGCGUACAGAGAUUCCGAAAUAGCUAUUUCCAUAUUUGAUUGUUCUGAA